rnacentral:rRNA from 1 species
CUUGUGUAUCAGGGCUGAUUUAAUAAAAAUUAAUUUUUUUUAGUAUUCUCGAAUUUAAAAGAGCUAUAAUGAAAUAUAUUUUAACGUUGAAUGGUUAUUUAUAAUUUUUUUAUGGUAAUGAAAUGUUAUUCGUUUUUAAUUAUAUCUGGUUUUUUAAGAAAUAAAUUUAAUUUAUUUGUUUAAUAGUAUUUAUAUUUUUUUUUAUUUUUUACUGUAAGCAUUUAAUUUUCAGGGGGAUAAGCUCUUGAAUAUAAAGUUAUAAUUUUUAUGUUUAAAUAUAGUUUGUAGGAUUAGAAUUUUCUAUCAUUAAAAGGAUGUUAUAAUUUACUAUUUUUAAUAUAAGAUUUUUAUUUUUUUAACUUUUUUAUUGAAAUUUUGGUUUUAUUUUUAUUUAUUAAUUAAUAAUGAUUAGAUUAGUAUAGUUUUAUGUAUUGUUAAGUUUUGUUGUUAGUAUAAUUUUAAGGAAUUCGGCAAAUGGAAUUUUCACCUGUUUAAUAAAAACAUGGCCUUUUGAGUAUGAUUAAGGUCUGACCUGCCCAAUGAUUGAUUUAAUGGC